rnacentral:rRNA from 1 species
GUGGGGAAUAUUGGACAAUGGGCGAAAGCCUGAUCCAGCCAUGCCGCGUGUGUGAAGAAGGUCUUCGGAUUGUAAAGCACUUUAAGUUGGGAGGAAGGGUAGUAACCUAAUACGUUGCUACUUUGACGUUACCGACAGAAUAAGCACCGGCUAACUUCGUGCCAGCAGCCGCGGUAAUACGAAGGGUGCAAGCGUUAAUCGGAAUUACUGGGCGUAAAGCGCGCGUAGGUGGUUCAGUAAGUUGGAAGUGAAAUCCCCGGGCUCAACCUGGGAACUGCUUUCAAAACUGCUGAGCUAGAGUACGGUAGAGGGUGGUGGAAUUUCCUGUGUAGCGGUGAAAUGCGUAGAUAUAGGAAGGAACACCAGUGGCGAAGGCGACUACCUGGACUGAUACUGACACUGAGGUGCGAAAGCGUGGGGAGCAAACAGGAUUAGAAACCCGGGUAGUCC